rnacentral:rRNA from 1 species
AGUGAACGCUGGCGGCAGGCCUAACACAUGCAAGUCGAACGGCAGCACAGCAGUAGCAAUACUGUGGGCGGCGAGUGGCGGACGGGUGAGGAAUACAUCGGAAUCUGCCUUAUCGUGGGGGAUAACGUAGGGAAACUUACGCUAAUACCGCAUACGACCUACGGGUGAAAGCGGAGGACCUUCGGGCUUCGCGCGAUAAGAUGAGCCGAUGUCGGAUUAGCUAGUUGGCGGGGUAAAGGCCCACCAAGGCGACGAUCCGUAGCUGGUCUGAGGGGCUGAUCAGCCACACUGGAACUGAGACACGGUCCAGACUCCUACGGGAGGCAGCAGUGCGGAAUAUUGGACAAUGGGCGCAAGCCUGAUCCAGCCAUGCCGCGUGGGUGAAGAAGGCCUUCGGGUUGUAAAGCCCUUUUGUCCGGAAAGAAAAGCACUGGGUUAAUACCCUGGUGUUCUGACGGUACCGGAAGAAUAAGCACCGGCUAACUUCGUGCCAGCAGCCGCGGUAA